rnacentral:rRNA from 1 species
AAUAGAUACCCCGGUAGUCCACGCCGUAAACGAUGGCCACUCGGCCUUUGGGUGAGGAACCUCCUCGCCGUGGGGGCCUUAGCAAACGCGGGAAGUGGCCCGCCUGGGAACUACGAGCGCAAGCUUAAAACUCAAAGGAAUUGACGGGGGCCCGCACAAGCAGCGGAGCGUGUGGUUUAAUUCGACGCAACGCGCAGAACCUUACCCAGGUUUGACAUAUACGAGAACGCUGCAGAAAUGUAGAACUCUUUGGACACUCGUAUACAGGUGGUGCAUGGUUGUUGUCAGCUCGUGUCGUGAGAUGUUGGGUUAAGUCCCGCAACGAACGCAACCCUCGUCGCAUGUUGCCAGCACGUUAUGGUGGGAACUCAUAGGAGACUGCCGGGGUCAACUCGGAGGAAGGUGGGGACGACGUCAAAUCAUCAUGCCCCUUAUGUCUUGGGCUUCACGCAUGCUACAAUGGCCGGUACAAAGGGUUGCGAUACUGUGAGGUGGAGCUAAUCCCAAAAAGCCGGUCUCAGUUCGGAUUGGGGUCUGCAACUCGA